rnacentral:rRNA from 1 species
AUGAAUAAGCACCGGCUAACUCCGUGCCAGCAGCCGCGGUAAUACGGAGGGUGCAAGCGUUGUCCGGAUUUAUUGGGUUUAAAGGGUGCGUAGGCGGAUGAUUAAGUCAGUGGUGAAAGCCCACAGCUCAACUGUGGAACUGCCAUUGAUACUGGUUAUCUUGAGUAUAGAUGAGGCAGGCGGAAUUUACGAUGUAGCGGUGAAAUGCAUAGAUAUCGUAAAGAACACCUAUAGCGAAGGCAGCUUGCUAAACUAUAACUGACGCUGAGGCACGAAAGCAUGGGUAGCGAACAGGAUUAGAUACCCUGGUAGUCCAUGCCGUAAACGAUGAUUACUCGAUGUUGGCGAUAUUACAGUCAGCGUCCAAGCGAAAGCGUUAAGUAAUCCACCUGGGGAGUACGCUCGCAAGAGUGAAACUCAAAGG